CCUACGGGGGGCAGCAGUCGAGAAUUAUUCACAAUGGGGGAAACCCUGAUGGUGCGACGCCGCGUGGGGGAAUGAAGGUCUUCGGAUUGUAAACCCCUGUCAUGUGGGAGCAAAUUAAAAGGAUAGUACCACAAGAGGAAGAGACGGAUAACUCUGUGCCAGCAGCCGCGGUAAUACAGAGGUCUCAAGCGUUGUUCGGAAUCACUGGGCGUAAGGCGUGCGUAGGCUGUUUCGUAAGUCGUGUGUGAAAGGCGCGGGCUCAACCCGCGGACGGCACAUGAUACUGCGAGACUAGAGUAAUGGAGGGGGAACCGGAAUUCUCGGUGUAGCAGUGAAAUGCGUAGAUAUCGAGAGGAACACUCGUGGCGAAGGCGGGUUCCUGGACAUUAACUGACGCUGAGGCACGAAGGCCAGGGGAGCGAAAGGGAUUAGAUACCCGGGUAGUC
rnacentral:rRNA from 1 species